CACAGGCCUUUACAUAACCUCGGUCAGUCUCAAACUUGCUAGGUAACUGAAGCUGCCCUUCAACUUCCUGUCUUCCUGUCCUCGCCUCCACAGUGCCGGGACUGCAGGCUUGGGGUUCUGUGAUUCCAUGAAUGAUCCUCACAGAAGUCAAGGAGACAAAAUGCGUCUAGGACUUGGACAUCCUUGAUGGAGGGUGUCCUGUGCAAGUGGGUACUGUCUGAUCCCCCCUCCCAACCAGGGCAAAGGGAAGAUGCAGUGGAUCACCCCAAAAGAAGCAGUUCAGAACACACACCUACAGAUCAUAAUCUUGAAGCCCAUCAACAGGAAGAGGUGGCAGAGAGGCACUGAGGACUGCCACUUAGGAGUAGAUCUCACUCCAACUCCUGCUGCAGACCUGUGGGGCAGGAAGGAGGCCAUCCAAAGCCACUGUAGAACACACUGUAGGUGCACGGUCUGGAUCUCUCUGAUCUUCCCCCCAAUGGGAAGUGUUUGUGUAGGCUGGUCGUAUUGUUAAUUGUUUAACAAGCUCCACCUCUACCAAUCACUUAUAAAAAAUCUAAUGUCAUUGAUAAUUAACAAAAAGAGGGGCGCUUUCAUGUUCAGGUUGUUGAGAUACAAUUUCUCAGGAAAACAUUCUCUAAGGUAUGCUUUUUUGAUGAUUUUUUAAAAAAUGAUCGAAUCACGCGCUGUUGCGUGUGUCAGGCAUGGAACAUUUGUGUGUUCCUUGGAUGAGACAAGAAAAUAAAGUGUUAUAGUA